rnacentral:lncRNA from 1 species
CUCCAAUAGCUCUUGGUCCAGGGGGGCCAUGAUAACAAGGCAUGUGGAAUGCUGUGUGCGAGACAGGGAGAGCACUAUACGGACAAAGCCAAGAGACCCCGAACAGAAGAGGCUCCUGGUGCAGCUAGUGGCUGAGCUGGUGCUUCAAGGACACAUAUGGUCUUCGGGCAAAUUCUACACCUGUCUGCAUGGAGUCUGCAGACCUCUGUUUGGAAGGAGGAACCAGAGGAAACUACUGGAGAAAUACCAUGGCUGGGUUUGGUGUUUCAGGAUUAUCUUCCUGGCUUCUGUGUGCAGUGUAUUCAGAAGAUGAAAAACAUUACUGGUUACACAGUGCCAAGGCUAAAGGCUGAGUGCAGCGCUGAAGGAAAGUGGUGCCAGAGGCCAGUCGAGGGGACCCGUGGCCUGGGACAGCGAGAAGUGGACCACGUGAGAGGGAUGGAUGACAGGGUUGGAGAGCUGGAGAAAACAGGGAAAGACUUCAGGUAAGGG